GGGGGGGCUAGCGUUGUUCGGAAUUACUGGGCGUAAAGGGCGCGUAGGCGGUCUGCUAAGUUGGAUGUGAAAACUCUGGGCUUAACCCAGAGCCUGCAUUCAAUACUGACAGGCUAGAGUUCUGGAGGGGAUAGCGGAAUUCCUGGUGUAGCGGUGAAAUGCGUAGAUAUCAGGAGGAACACCGGUGGCGAAGGCGGCUAUCUGGACAGAGUCUGACGCUGAGGCGCGAAAGCUAGGGGAGCAAACAGGAUUAGAUACCCUGGUAGUCCUAGCCCUAAACGAUGGAUACUUGGUGUAACUGGGAUUGAAUCCAGUUGUGCCGAAGCUAACGCAUUAAGUAUCCCGCCUGGGGAGUACGGUCGCAAGGCUG
rnacentral:rRNA from 1 species